rnacentral:tRNA from 1 species
ACCUGGCUGGCUCAGUCAGUAGAGCAUGUGACUCUUAAUUUCAGGGUCCUGAGUCCAAGCCCCAGGUUGGGUA